GCUUAACGCGAAGAACCUUACCCACCUUUGACAUGGCAGGAACUUACCAGAGAUGGUUUGGUGCUCGAAAGAGAACCUGCACACAGGUGCUGCAUGGCUGUCGUCAGCUCGUGUCGUGAGAUGUUGGGUUAAGUCCCGCAACGAGCGCAACCCUUGCCAUUAGUUGCUACAUUCAGUUGAGCACUCUAAUGGGACUGCCGGUGACAAACCGGAGGAAGGUGGGGAUGACGUCAAGUCCUCAUGGCCCUUAUAGGUGGGGCUACACACGUCAUACAAUGGCUGGUACAAAGGGUUGCCAACCCGCGAGGGGGAGCUAAUCCCAUAAAGCCAGUCGUAGUCCGGAUCGCAGUCUGCAACUCGACUGCGUGAAGUCGGAAUCGCUAGUAAUCGUGGAUCAGAAUGUCACGGUGAAUACGUUCCCGGGUCUUGUACACACCG
rnacentral:rRNA from 1 species